AUUGAACGCUAGCGGGAUGCCUUACACAUGCAAGUCGAACGGAGUGGCGAACGGGUACGUAAUGUAUCGGAACGUGCCCAGUAGCGGGGGAUAACUACGCGUAAGCGUAGCUAAUACCGCAUACUAUUGGCGCGGCCGAUACCGGAUUAGCUAGUUGUAGGGGUAACGGCGCACCAAGGCGACGAUCCGUAGCUGGUUUGAGAGGACGACCAGGAACACUGGGACGGAGACACGGCCCAGACGCCUACGGGAGGCAGCAGUGGGGAAUUUUGGACAAUGGGGGAAACCCUGAUCCAGCCAUGCCGCGUGGGCGAUGAAGGCCUUCGGGUUGUAAAGCACUUUUGGCAGGAAAGCGGUACCUGCAGAAUAAGCACCGGCUAACUACGUGCCAGCCGCCGCGGUAAUUC
rnacentral:rRNA from 1 species